rnacentral:lncRNA from 1 species
AAGACCAUUCCCACCAUUUUCGUGCAAAAGAACACUUUACGGGCACUCUCUUCUCGCCCCUUUCCUCUUCUAUGCCAACUUUCAAGUUCCUUUCAGCCAUGACCAGGCUAUGCCCACUCCAUUUGGGGCAAAGAUCGUCCUUCUCUAUCCUUUCUUUGGCACAUUCGCUUAGAAAAGGCAUCUAUUUUCAGAACUUGACGAAAUCACGUGAAGCCCUGCCGCAACUCCAACGUUCGGAUUUGAACACUUCUUUUGACAUCCGAAUUCAAAAUCUGCCCGCCUAAUAAGAGCAGAAACCCUAGAUCUGUGUUUUCGGUCUAUAAAUACCUCUUCAAGUCUCAUCCGAAGGGCAUCUGGGAAUCCCCUCUAAAUAUCAAGCUUUACCAUCUAAAAGAAUCUCCAAGCUAAGCUAUUCAUUUGACAUUGGCUAUAUCUCUCGAAGACCUUAGUGUUGUUCAAUCUUACUAUCUCUGUUCGACUCAAUCUAGUUAAAAGAGGAAUAGAUCUGAAGCCUCGCAAGCCCCAAGUUCACUGCCCCGUGGAAGGUAAAUCCGACUCCAUUCUAUCUAUUAGAUACCAUGUUAUAUAGGAAAGGCUACUGAAGCAGAAUUUCUAUUAAGCGCCGCACUAAUGAAUGCCAUCUUACCUAGACAUGUGUGGUUUAAAUCUUGCUGCUGAUGUUGUGUUAUUUUGUCCAAAACUGUCCAUAAAGAUUUCUCUUUUUUCCAUGAAAGAAUUGUAUUUGAACUUUCAUUUUUGUGGGAUGCACCCUCUAACUGGUGGUCAUGCUUUAGGAGUACAUCACAAGUUUCCUUUUCAUUUUAGAUAUCUUUGGGUUAGGACUUUCAUUUUAUAGCAUGAGUUUGUUUACUAUUAUUACUUUAUAUGGAGUUCAGAUCUGCUAAAACUAUCUAUCUAUUAUAAAAAUGUGCUUUGUGAAUCAUGCUUAUAGGAUUUAAUGAAUAGUAUUAAAUUUGUGACAAUCUAAUCUUAUAAGCCCUGUGAAAUAGUAGAACUUUAGUUUGGAACUUUUUCUAAGCAGCAUUCUCAUAAACCACUGGCUAAGACAAGCUUAACAAUCCAUACCCUCUUUGGUUUCUCGCUAUUAGCUUGUAAAUCAUACCUACAAGUAUAUUAAAGGAACAAUAUGUGUGUUUCUAUCUUUUAAUUCAUUGCAAGUAGUUGUCCUGUUAACUUAAAUUCCAAUGUAAAGAAUCUGCUUCUAUUAAUAUGGUGUUUUAGCAUCACUGUAGUAAUUGUGGUGCUUUACAUUCUCAUUAUCUUCAACUAGUCGUGGAUACAAUUUGCAAUAUUAAGACUAUAUUGCUAAUCGUUAUUGUUCCUUUUCUUUGCAUGAACACCUGGAGCGACACGACUCUCCUUAUCCAUAUAGAAUCUUAUUGCGAGAAGAAGAACAAGCGAAAAGCUUGGGGUCGUCUAAACGAAAAUCUCUAAGUUGGACUUGACAGACCCCUCUCUUAAGAUGCUAUAAAUCUAAUGAUUUGUCCAUUAAUGAUAAUCUGUAUUUGAACAAAAAAAACAUUUUUUUUAAGUUUUGAAAUAAUUUAAGGUCUGUUUCUUAUAUAUAUUAAGUUUU